AUUGAACGCUGGCGGAAUGCUUUACACAUGCAAGUCGGGCGGCAGCGCGGGGGCAACCCUGGCGGCGAGCGGCGAACGGGUGAGUAACACAUCGGAACGUACCCUGUCGUGGGGGAUAACGAAUCGAAAGAUUCGCUAAUACCGCAUACGACCUGAGGGGUGAAAAGCGGGGGGAUCGGCAAGACCUCGCGCGAGAGGAGCGGCCGAUGGCGGAUUAGCUAGUUGGUGGGGUAAAGGCCCACCAAGGCGACGAUCCGUAGCGGGUCUGAGAGGACGGCCCGGCCACACUGGGACUGAGACACGGCCCAGACUCCUACGGAGGCAGCAGU
rnacentral:rRNA from 1 species